rnacentral:rRNA from 1 species
UACGUAGGGUGCGAGCGUUGUCCGGAAUUAUUGGGCGUAAAGGGCUCGUAGGCGGUCUGUCGCGUCGGGAGUGAAAACUCAGGGCUUAACCCUGAGCCUGCUUCCGAUACGGGCAGACUAGAGGUAUGCAGGGGAGAACGGAAUUCCUGGUGUAGCGGUGAAAUGCGUAGAUAUCGGGAGGAACACCAGUGGCGAAGGCGACUUCCUGGCCUGUUCUUGACGCUGAGGCGCGAAAGCUAGGGGAGCAAACGGG